rnacentral:rRNA from 1 species
UACGUAGGGGGCAAGCGUUGUCCGGAAUUAUUGGGCGUAAAGCGCGCGCAGGCGGUUCCUUAAGUCUGAUGUGAAAGGCCACAGCUCAACUGUGGAGGGCCAUUGGAAACUGGGGAACUUGAGGACAGAAGAGGAGAGCGGAAUUCCACGUGUAGCGGUGAAAUGCGUAGAUAUGUGGAGGAACACCAGUGGCGAAGGCGGCUCUCUGGUCUGUAACUGCCGCUGAGGCGCGAAAGCAUGGGUAGCAAACAGA